rnacentral:rRNA from 1 species
AUACGGAGGAUGCGAGCGUUAUCCGGAUUUAUUGGGUUUAAAGGGAGCGUAGGUGGGAAAUUAAGCCCGCUGUGAAAGUCUGGGGCUCAACCUUAAAAUUGCAGUUGAUACUGGUUUCCUUGAGUACGGUACAGGUGGGCGGAAUUCGUGGUGAAGCGGGGAAAUGCUUAGAUAUCUCGAAGAAAUCCGAUCGCGAAGGCAGCUCACCGGGCCGGAACUGACACUGAUGCUCGAAAGUGCGGGUAUCAAACAGGAUUAGAUACCCUGGUAGUCCGCACAGUAAACGAUGAAUACUCGCUGUUUGCGAUACACGGUAAGCGGCCAAGCGAAAGCGUUAAGUAUUCCACCUGGGGAGUACGCCGGCAACGGUGAAACUCAAAGGAAUUGACGGGG